UCAAUAAUUUAGUAUAUUCUGUUAAAUUAUAUAAAAUAGUAGUUUUUCUCCGAAAGCAUAAGUUAUUUUGAAAAUUGUAUUUUUAUAUAUAGGCUGGGGCUAUUGUGCUGGUAAAAGUACCAAAUAUUUGAUACUUGUAAAUUUUUUACCAUUAGAUCUACUCUUAUGAUCAUUUUCAAUCGUUAAAUUAUAUUAUACAACCAACCACUCACUCAACCCUAGGGAGCCCACAUCAUCCUAAUUGCAUUUUCCUUAAUCCAAUGACCAAAAAUCUAAAAACACCAAUAACUUGGUACUUUUAAAAGCAUAGAAGCUCAAUUAUAUAUAUAUAUAUAUAUAUAGAGAGAGAGAGAGAGAGAGAGAGAGAGAGUAGAGCUACUAUGCUAUCGGAAGCAUUGAGGAUCUGGUGCUUCCGAUUUUUUGACCCUUAGAUUAGCCCUUUUAAUCAUUUCUAACUUUUAGAUUAAUACUAUUAUCCUG
rnacentral:lncRNA from 1 species